GUCCACUCUCCACUCUCCCGCUGGCUACUGCUCAUCAGGAGCAAGAUGGGGGUGGGGACUGUCCAAUGAUUCCUCUGUGUGAUAGAUGACCAAGUGGCUGCAGUCGUGGGGGUCUACACAGCAGUGCAAGAUUGUUUGUAGCUGAUUUGAUCAAACUCUGGCUUCCUGAACUGGAAUGAAAUGCAGAUAACUCGUUAGCAAACUUUUGUGGGAAAAAAGUGCCUUGUGCGAUCAGAACAAAGCCGUUUUAUAAUCAGAUUUACCAAGCUGAGAAGAGGGAGUUUCAGCAAAUGGAAGCUUCAGCUUUCUGUCACCAGGAAACACUGCGUUAUCCAGAAUCGGAAUUGUUAAAGCAUACUGACUACAACUGGAGACAAAAAUGGAACCUAAGAAAAUAAAAUCACUUGGGAAGGAUGUGAAUUCAUAUAUCUUUUCUCUUAAAGUUGUUUUGAAAAGAGCCAUAAAUGAGUAUGACUUAUCUCAUUGAAAAGAACAAAAGAAGGACCUCUAUGAAGCUGAGCAUCAUAGCAAAUAAUGGUCUCACUGUGAUUUCAUCCAAAACAGUCUCACAUGCCAGACUUGUCAACUGAAGAAACAGAAGAGAAGACAGGAGCCUGGUCUGUUUCUGUCCCUCCUCUGUCAUUGUCCCAAAACUUAUAUGAAGAACUUUCCAGUCUGCAUAGUCUCUGAACAUUUUAUUAUGUUGCAACAUCUCACUACACCAUUUGUUCGCUGAAAGCAUACCCUAGAAUUUGACUGUCCACUACUGAUGACCAUCACUUAGGAAAACAGAGCAGCAGCUGUGUGAUGGAAUGACAAGCUUAUAAAGAACUCAAGAAUGGUUUUCCAUGAUGAGAAGAAGGGAAUGGAAAUUGCUUCUAAGAAACACAAGUUUUACAAUGUGGGUUUUCUAUUCUUUUGGUAAAUAAAUGGAAACUUAGAAAUAAUUUUAGACAGUAGCAAUUCAGGAUAAAAUUUUCAGUGGAUGAGUGGAGGUUUCAAGGGGGAAUUUAUUGUUAUGUUAUAUAUACUAGAGACUUUCAUUAAGAAAUUAAGUAGUUUACAUUAAUAGAAAAGGAAUACAAGUGAAGCAAAAAUCAAUGCCUGUGUAUAAUUAAUUGUUUAAUAGUCAAUUGUCAUAAUGUAAUGAGUUUUUGUCACCUAGUGCUGAAUCUAAUGAAAAUAAAGCAGAUUGUACUGUC
rnacentral:lncRNA from 1 species